rnacentral:rRNA from 1 species
UUCCCUACGGGACGCAGCAGUAAGGGAUAUUGGUCAAUGGGGGAAACCCUGAACCAGCAACGCCGCGUGAGGGAAGACGGUUUUCGGAUUGUAAACCUCUGUCCUCUGUGAAGAUGAUGACGGUAGCAGAGGAGGAAGCUCCGGCUAACUACGUGCCAGCAGCCGCGGUAAUACGUAGGGAGCGAGCGUUGUCCGGAAUUACUGGGUGUAAAGGGAGCGUAGGCGGGACUGCAAGUUGGGUGUCAAAUCUACCGGCUCAACCGGUAGCCGCA